rnacentral:tRNA from 1 species
GGAAGAGCGACAUCCCCGGUGGGGUGCCUGGUCUUCAAAACCAGUGAGGUGCUGUUAAGGUGCCUGGUGGGUUCGACUCCUACCUCUUCCGCCA